rnacentral:SRP_RNA from 2 species
GCUGGGCAUGGUGGUGCAUGCCUGUAGUCCCAGCUGCUAAGGAGGCUGAGGUAGGAGGAUUGCUUGAGCCUGGGAAGUUGAGGCUGCAGUGAGCCAUGAUUGUGCCACUGCACUCCAGCCUGGGUGACAGAGUGAGAUCUUGUUUCAA